GCUAAAACAACAGUUCCCACAUGAUCACCAAUGUUAAGCAAUGUCAAGCCUAGUCAGUACUUAGAUGGGUGACCACUUAGGAAUACCAAGUGCUGUAAG